rnacentral:rRNA from 1 species
AACGAACGCUGGCGGCAUGCCUAACACAUGCAAGUCGAACGAGACCUUCGGGUCUAGUGGCGCACGGGUGCGUAACGCGUGGGAACCUGCCCUUAGGUUCGGAAUAACUCCCCGAAAGGGGUGCUAAUACCGGAUAAUGUCUUCGGACCAAAGAUUUAUCGCCUUUGGAUGGGCCCGCGUUGGAUUAGCUAGUUGGUAGGGUAAAAGCCUACCAAGGCGACGAUCCAUAGCUGGUCUGAGAGGAUGAUCAGCCACACUGGGACUGAGACCCGGCCCAGACUCCUACGGGAGGCAGCAGUGGGGAAUAUUGGACAAUGGGCGAAAGCCUGAUCCAGCAAUGCCGCGUGAGUGAUGAAGGCCUUAGGGUUGUAAAGCUCUUUUACCCGGGAUGAUAAUGACAGUACCGGGAGAAUAAGCUCCGGCUAACUCCGUG